AGGACGAACGCUGGCGGCGUGCUUAACACAUGCAAGUCAAGGGGGCCCAGCAAUGGGCAACCGGCGAACGGGUGCGUAACACGUGAGCAACCUACCGAACUGUGGGGGAUAGCCGGCCUAACGGCCGAGUAAUACCGCAUACGCUCUCAGGGAGGCAUUUCUUUGAGAGGAAACCUACGGGACAGAUCGAGGGGCUCGCGGCCUAUCAGCUAGUUGGCGAGGUAACGGCUCACCAAGGCAACGACGGGUAGCUGGUCUGAGAGGAUGGCCAGCCACAUUGGGACUGAGAUACGGCCCAGACUCCUACGGGAGGCAGCAGUGGGGAAUCUUGCGCAAUGGCCUAACGGCUGACGCAGCGACGCCGCGUGUGGGAUGAAGCUCUUCGGAGUGUAACCACUGUUGCCCGGACGAAUAGCUCGAUUAUCGAGCCUGACGGUACCGGUGAGGAAGCACCGGCUAACUCCGUGCCAGCAGCCGC
rnacentral:rRNA from 1 species